rnacentral:rRNA from 1 species
UGGCGGACGGGUGAGUAAUGUCUGGGAAACUGCCUGAUGGAGGGGGAUAACUACUGGAAACGGUAGCUAAUACCGCAUAACGUCGCAAGACCAAAGAGGGGGACCUUCGGGCCUCUUGCCAUCGGAUGUGCCCAGAUGGGAUUAGCUAGUAGGUGGGGUAACGGCUCACCUAGGCGACGAUCCCUAGCUGGUCUGAGAGGAUAACCAGCCACACUGGAACUGAGACACGGUCCAG